rnacentral:rRNA from 1 species
CCUAGGGGAGGCAGCAGUGAGGAAUAUUGGUCAAUGGCCGCAGGGCUGAACCAGCCAAGUCGCGUGAGGGAUGACGGUCCUAUGGAUUGUAAACCUCUUUUGUCAGGGAGCAAAGGGCGCCACGUGUGGCGCUUUGCGAGUACCUGAAGAAAAAGCAUCGGCUAACUACGUGCCAGCAGCCGCGGUAAUACGUAGGGGGCAAGCGUUAUCCGGAUUUACUGGGUGUAAAGGGAGCGUAGACGGUGCGCCAAGUCUGGAGUGAAAUGCCGCAGCUUAACUGCGGAACUGCUUUGGAAACUGGCGAACUAGAGUGCGGGAGGGGUAAGCGGAAUUCCUAGUGUAGCGGUGAAAUGCGUAGAUAUUAGGAGGAACACCGGUGGCGAAGGCGGCUUACUGGACCGUAACUGACGUUGAGGCUCGAAAGCGUGGGGAGCAAACAGGAUUAGAUACCCCUGUAGUC